rnacentral:rRNA from 1 species
AGAACGAACGCUGGCGGCGUGGAUAAGACAUGCAAGUCGAACGCGAUUUAUCAGGUUAGCAAUAACUCGGUAAGUUGAGUGGCGAAAGGGUGCGUAACACGUGGGAAUUUACCGAGAAGUGGGGAAUAGCUUGACGAAAGUCAAAUUAAUACCGCAUACGAUCGCAAGAUCAAAGCCGGGGACCGCAAGGCCUGGCGCUUUUUGAGAAGCCCGCGGCCCAUCAGCUAGUUGGCGGGGUAAAAGCCCCACCAAGGCUAUGACGGGUAGCUGGUCUGAGAGGACGACCAGCCACACUGGAACUGAGACACGGUCCAGACACCUACGGGUGGCAGCAGUCGAGAAUUUUUCACAAU